rnacentral:lncRNA from 1 species
CUCACAUCUAUAUAAUGAUAUGGGAGUUGGUAGCGUUGAUCGAUCCCAAGCGCAGCAUCAUGUUCCCAUGCCCGAUCUGUGGGAUUUGCUUGGUAGCCGAGGUACCACUUUUGCCAAGAGAAAAAAUUGUUGCUGCAAAUGCCCCAAUCAACAUAAAGACAAUUGAAAUUUAAAAGCCUAGCUGAGAUAAGCAAAAGAGUACAUGAUCCUGACUAGGCACCUCCACCACCACAGCUCACUCCCAAAGUCAAGACUAACCUUAGUCGACAACUAUCUCAGAUCUAGGUGACUCAUGUGGAACUUGGUAGGUCAGUGAGCAGCAUGCAUACUAUGCUAUUGGAGAUGCAGUGGAUGCAGGUAGACAUGCAAAAUGAGCUACUAAAAGUGAGGGGCCAAAUACAUAGGUUCCAAUAAAGUGAUGAAGAGACGCGGAUGGAUCAAAGAACCAUCACGUAUUCUUACAAUCUGGCGCACAAGCAAAUACUACACUUUGGGAGUCGACUGGAGAGUAUUGACAGAAACGUUGCCCAGAUAGCAGAGGCCAUCGAGUCCUUAAGGCCCAUUACUUCUAUCAGCCAGCCAGACCACCAUAAUCCUUCCACUUAUCCAUACCUACCACAGGGAGUUUCUGAUCAUUUACUCUUUUAUUUUGAUUAUUUUUGCUUUUACAUUAAAGAUAAUUUAAUAUUUUUCAUUUAGAACGGGUUAAGUAGGAUACUUAGGAUAAAUAUUUGCUUUUCAACUAUUGAUAGACUGUUUGAUUUGAAGGAAAAAAUUG